GAAAACAACAACACAACAAACGCUUGUAUUGUAUUUUACAUCUUGAAAAGGACCUGAUGUCAGAUGAAGAAGUCUGAAGAUACCUUGGAUAUCCUGUUGCAGGAUGACCCAAACGAUCAUGCAUUCAGUAUAAACAUGUUAUUGACAUCCCAAUAUUUAGUGGGAAGCUUCCAGGUAUCUUCCACUAGUGACAGUCUACUGGCAAAUCCAGACAUGCAUUGGAAGUAUGUUGAUGUGGAGGACACAGGUACACCUGAUCCAAGAACUGUGGCAUUUCAUUCGGAGUGACAACCUGGCAUGCAGUUGAUAUGGGACCUGAUUAUUCAGAGAAUUGCAGAUUUUAUGAAGCUGUUUUUGACAGAAGAUUUGGUUUUCUCCAUCUCUGUUGCCACCAACCAUUAUGCUGUGAUGGUCAUAUCUAGGGGGAAGGGUUGUCAUAUGCUUCCCAAGGAAGUUCGAAGCCUCUCACUGAAGAGGAACUGUACACGUAUUACUAGUUUUAAAGUACCGAUAUUGUGACAGUGAUUUCCAGUUUAAAACGAAUAAUAAAAUGCAUUUUAUAAGAUUACCUUUACCAAAAUUAAUCUGGCUGUGCAUCUAACACAUUUUUUAAAGAUAAAAUUUUACAAGUAAUUAAACGCAUAAUUUUCAGAGGGCCUUGAUUAUAGAAAACAUUUACAGAGCCAAUUGAGUAUUCAAAAGCUCUGAGAAUACAUCAGUAUAUUGGGGCUAAGUAUAAACAAUCUUUCUUUUUUUUCUUCAGAUUUUUGGGCAUUAUCUUAUACAUGUCUGCUGAGAAGUUCCAGUCGAUAGACAGAUAUUGGUCAACGUAUGCCACUAUCGGAACAACCUAGUAUCAAGAAUUAUGUCUAGAAAUAUGUUUUAAGAGGUUGAAUAUAAGAAGAACAAUUUUUAUUAAAUAUAAUUCAAGUACAUUUAAAUUUAGUGAUUGAAAGUAAGUACUUGAACAUUCGUAUACAUGUACAAUGAACUUGGGGAGGAAAAACGGGCAUUAGUUUCGCAUAGCAUUUGAUAUCAUAAUGGUGUUGUUGCUUAGCAACCAAAUAUAUUUGAAUAUAAAAAAAGUUUUUUUUUUUUUUUUUUUAGAUUUUAACAGGAAAGAUCUUUGUUUUAAUGUUGCAAUAUUUAUACUAUUUAGUGGGAUACAAUGGCAAAACGUCAUAUUAUUAGAAAAUGAUGAAUAUGUAUAUGAAGUACGAAAUUUUCAUUUUAUGACCUUUUACCUUAAUUCUCUUCAUUAUAUUUUUUGUUAAAAACCUUUUAAAAUGAUUGAGAUCUAGUCAAAGAUUAUAUUUUUAAAAUAAUGUGACAUUUACUAAUCAUCAUGCAAUGUAACUAUGUUUAAAUUGUGUCGAAUGGAUGUAGAAAGGCAAAUUAUGGUCAAAAUUACACCAUGAGUGUUGUUACUUAGCAACCAAAAAUAUUUGUUUGUCAGUAAAAUUGAUUAAUUUGAUUGUGAUGUUUUUGUAGUAUUUUAAAAGACAUAUCAGCUCAUACAUUUAGAAUUUCCUAUUUUUGACUCGAAUCCAGUGAGAGGGGUCGUAAUAUAUAUAUUCCAGAGAAAAAAGAUUGCAAAAAUGUGCACUUAAAUGACCUUUGACCCCGUAGAACUCUUUGGGGUCAUGGGAUAACAUGACAAACUUUAUGAAAAAAAUGUUCCCUGUCCAAUUCGUAACAAAAUUAUAUAUCACAUGCCUACCUAAAAUCGUGAUACAUGCAGAUGUAACUCGAUUUAAAAAUAUUGUCAUUUAGUCUUUAAAAAUCU